UCAACCCAAGCCAGAGCUAGAGUUUGUUUGUGAGGUCAAGAAAAGAGUUACCCCUUCUUUGCUGUACUUGGACCUGAGAGGUUAUAAAACUGGAGCUACAGAACCUAUCUCACUACAACAAGGAGACUGCAACUGAAGGCAGUGAUGUACAUGAGCAAGAAACAGCAGAUAUUGAACUUUACCAAGACCCACGUCACCUAAUGAGCAGUCCAUCUUCCAGCGAGGGUCCAUCUGUCCCGGGCCAGGUCUCCAUAUAUGGAACAUUUGGAUGAGGAAGAGAAAGAAAGAAAGGAAAGGAAAGAGGAAAAGAAACAUAGAAGAAUAGAAAUAUCUAUUUCAUUGAUAUUGACUCUUCUGGCUAUACAGUUAUGAACUGUGCCCAACCAAGAACAUGCAAAAAUUUGGAGCCCCAAAUCUGUCUUCUGCUAGCGUCUUGGUUCCAUGUUCCUUGCAGAGCUAAGUAUCUUACCCCAUAUUAAAUAUAUUUAAAAAUCUCAUUUUUGGAUAAACAUGACCAACUGUGUUAGCUGUGGUUCAAGUGAAUACAGCAUGAUCUGUUUCAAAGCUGGAGGAAAACCUGACUUUGCUAAGCUUGGUUGGAGAAGGUCUCCCACCUGGCAUCCUUUAAAGGGACUUUCAAGGUCAACAUCAGUAAUGCAUAGUUUUCUUUUUAUGUAUGCUCUGAUUAUAAAAUCUAACCCUAUUACAAGUAUCACUUUUAUUUUAUUUCCAAGUGUACUCUUAAUGUGGCCUUUUUUUCAGAUGAUGUUAGUUAUGUAUGGUAAGAAAGACUUAUGAGAAUGUACAGUUGUAGAACAAUAGUUAGAAAAAGUCAUGGAGCAAAAGAGAAACAAGACAAGAUAAAGAAAAAGCAAUGCCCUAAAUGGAAACUAUAAAAAGAGGGGCUAAUAGUAAAAAGGGGAGAUGAAAU